rnacentral:rRNA from 1 species
CCUACGGGGUGCAGCAGUGGGGAAUAUUGCACAAUGGGGGAAACCCUGAUGCAGCGACGCCGCGUGAAGGAAGAAGUAUUUCGGUAUGUAAACUUCUAUCAGCAGGGAAGAAAAUGACGGUACCUGACUAAGAAGCCCCGGCUAACUACGUGCCAGCAGCCGCGGUAAUACGUAGGGGGCAAGCGUUAUCCGGAUUUACUGGGUGUAAAGGGAGCGUAGGCGGCGAUGCAAGUCAGAAGUGAAAGCCGGGGGCUCAACGCCUGGACUGCUUUGGAAACUGUAUGGCUAGAUUGCCGGAGAGGCAAGUGGAAUGCCUAGUGUAGCGGUGAAAUGCGUAGAUAUUAGGAGGAACACCAGUGGCGAAGGCGGCUUGCUGGACUGUAAAUGACGCUGAGGCUCGAAAGCGUGGGGAGCAAACAGGAUUAGAUACCCGUGUAGUC